GAUGAACGCUGGCGGCGUGCUUAACACAUGCAAGUCAUGGGGGCCCAGCAAUGGGCAACCGGCGAACGGGUGCGUAACACGUGAGCAACCUACCCAGGUGUGGGGGAUAGCCGUCCCAACGGACGGGUAAUACCGCAUACGCUCAACACGAGGCCUCCUCGAGUUGAGGAAACCUUCGGGGCACCAUGAGGGGCUCGCGGCCUAUCAGCUAGUUGGUGAGGUAACGGCUCACCAAGGCUACGACGGGUAGCUGGUCUGAGAGGAUGGCCAGCCACAUUGGGACUGAGAAACGGCCCAGACUCCUACGGGAGGCAGCAGUGGGAAUCUUGCGCAAUGGGCCUAACGGGCUGACGCAGCGACGCUGCGUGAGGGAUGACGCUCUUCGGAGUGCAAACCUCUUCUGCCUGGAACGACUAUCAGCUUCAGCUGAUUUGACGGUACCGGGUGAAUAAGCACCGGGCUAAACUCCGUGCCAGCA
rnacentral:rRNA from 1 species